rnacentral:rRNA from 1 species
UACGUAGGGUGCGAGCGUUGUCCGGAAUUACUGGGCGUAAAGAGCUUGUAGGUGGUUUGUCGCGUUGUUCGUGAAAUCUCACGGCUCAACUGUGAGCGUGCGGGCGAUACGGGCAGACUAGAGUACUGCAGGGGAGACUGGAAUUCCUGGUGUAGCGGUGGAAUGCGCAGAUAUCAGGAGGAACACCCGUGGCGAAGGCGGCCCUCUGGCUCGACCCUGACGCUGAGGCGCGAAAGCGUGGGGAGCGAACGGG